GAAAGUAAACAAGGGCGCAUGGAGGAUGCCUAGGCUCUCGGAGGCGAAGAAGGACGUGAUAAGCUGCGAAAAGUUACGGUAAGGCGCAAAUAGCCGUAGACCCGUAAAUAUCCGAAUGGGGCAACCCGGCCAGCAAUGGUCAUACCGCCAAGCGGUAAGCCAACGCGGGGAACUGAAACAUCUAAGUACCCGCAGGAAAAGAAAAUAACAAUGAUUCCGCCAGUAGUGGCGAGCGAACGCGGAACAGCCCAAACCACCCGUGUUACGGCACGAGUGGGGUAGAAGGAUCCACGAUACGGCAAGAAAUAAGUUAGCAGAAUACGAUGGAAAUCGUAGCCAAAGACGGUGACAGCCCGGUACGCGAAAACCGACAGAAGCCCAGUGGACACCUGAGUAACCCAGGACACGAGAAAUCCGGGGCGAAUCAGCGGGGCCCAUCCCGUAAGGCUAAAUACUCCCGAGAGACCGAUAGCGAACCAGUACUGUGAAGGAAAGGUGAAAAGAACCUCGAACAGAGGAGUGAAACAGACCCUGAAACCAUGCGCCUACAAGCGGUCGGAGCAUGUUAAAAUGUGACGGCGUGCCUUUUGCAUAAUGAACCUACGAGUUACUCUCGCUGGCAAGGUUAAGCGAUUCAGUCGCGCAGCCGAAGCGAAAGCAAGUCCGAACAAGGCGUACAGUCAGCGGGAGUAGACGCGAAACCAAGUGAUCUACCCUUGGUCAGGUUGAAGGUUGGGUAACACCAACUGGAGGACCGCACCGAUAAGCGUUGAAAAGCUUACGGAUGAACUGAGGGUAGGAGUGAAAGGCCAAUCAAACUUGGAGAUAGCUCGUACUCCCCGAAAUGCAUUUAGGUGCAGCCUCGAAGCAGAGUGAUAGAGGUAGAGCGACUGAUAAGAUGCGAGGGCUUCACCGCCUAUCAAGUCUUGACAAACUCCGAAUACUAUCACUUGAUCUUCGGGAGUGAGGGCAUGGGUGCUAAGGUCCAUGUCCGAAAGAGGAACAACUCAGACCACCAGCUAAGGUCCCGAAAUAAGGGCUAAGUUGAAUAAACGAAGUAAAACUGCAAAGACAGCUAGGAUGUUGGCUUGGAAGCAGCCAUUCAUUUAAAGAGUGCGUAACAGCUCACUAGUCGAGGAGUUUUGCAUGGAUAAUAAUCGGGCAUAAGCCCUUUACCGAAGCUGUGGAUGUCGUAAGACAUGGUAGGGGAGCAUUCCGGCGGCGACGAAGGCCGUCCUCGAGGACGACUGGAGCUUUCGGAAAAGCAAAUGUAGGUAUAAGUAACGAUAAAGGGGGCGCGAAACCCCCUCGCCAUAAGACUAAGGAUUCCUGAUCAACGCUAAUCGGAUCAGGGUAAGUCGGGCCCUAAGGCGCAGCCGAACGGCGUAGCCGAUGGAAGAAACGGUAAAGAUUCCGUUACUGGAUAUAGGAGCGAUGUGGAGACGGAGAAGUGACACACCCGCCUGCCGACGGAAGCGCAGGUUAAAGGAAGUAGGUAGACGCCGGGUAGGCAAAUCCGCCUGGCGUGCCGAAGCUGACAGUAUCGAGAGCCCCCGGGCAAUCGAAUAGCGGUGGUAAUCAGGCUCCCAAGAAAAUCCGCUAAGCAUAUUCUAUAUUCACCCGUACCCCAAACGGACACACGUAGUCGGGUAGAAUAUACCAAGGCGCUCGAAAGACUCACGGUUAAGGAACUAGGCAAAUUGACCCUGUAACCUCGGGAAAAAGGGUCCCCAGUAAGAUGGGGCGCAGAGAAUAGGUCCAGGCAACUGUUUAACAAAAACACAGGGCUGUGCAAAAUUUAGAGAUGAAGUAUACAGCCUGACACCUGCCCGGUGCCGGAAGGUUAAGAGGAGAGCUAAUCGCAAGAGAAGGCUUGAAUUGAAGCCCCGGUAAACGGCGGCCGUAACUAUAACGGUCCUAAGGUAGCGAAAUUCCUUGUCGGGUAAGUUC
rnacentral:rRNA from 1 species